GCGCGCCACGCUGCUGAGGCAAACGGGGAGGGGGUGGGGUGGGGAUCCCGCCUCGAUAUCCGAUUUCGUGUUUCUCUUUCAGUGAUCCCGGUGACAGAAUGACACAGUUUCUGUGAGCCCGUGACUGCAUCAGAAGCUCUUCCACUUUUGAUUUGUUUAAAUCGGCCAUGUUUGCCGAGUGCUUCAGGUUGGGCUGGGAAAGACAGCGCUGUGCGCUGCUCGGGGGGUAGGAGCGGCCGGGCAGGAGCUGCCAGGAAGUGUCAAAACACCUAGGUACAAAGAAUAGGAGUAAGCCCUUGUGCUUGUGCUCUGGGUAAUGCAAAACAAUGAAAAGUUCACACGAAAACUCCUCAUUGAAAGGAAACCCACCAAGAGCCAUGUUCUGUGCUACAUUCAUCAGCCCGUUUCCGAGAGUCUCACAAUGUCAGCAAAAUGCAGAGGGUAAGGGCAGAAAAUAUUUACCAGCCAGCAAUACUGUCUUCUGUUUCUAUUCCAUGUCUCACUGCUAGGCAUUUGAUCAUGAUUGCUAAAAACACUCCCCUGUAAAUCUGCACAGUCUCCCUUCUGCUAACACCCAUCUCCCCGUGUUCAGGUAUUGCAUGUAAAUUUGGGGCUGUGCAGAGCUGCUGCUGCCGGAGCUGUUACCGGAGCUGAUUCUAUUUCUGAGGGAUGAAAUACACAUCUGACAUACUCCCCCCCGCCCCCAAUUUACAAACAGUGCCUAUACUGUAGAGCUGUCAGCCAGCUAAUCUCUGAUUGCUUUUUCCUAGAUUAUUAAUAAAAUUAGAACCCCAAGCAGAAGGCGUUUGCUUUCAUUGUACAGUCUGCACUUGUGACAUGGUACAUGUGGAAAAUUUUGAGUGCACUGCAGUGAAUGGUCUGGGGGUUAGUUUUUAGCUUCCGCUAAGUACCUGGCAGGCUGCCACGGCUGAAGGAUUCUGGGAACUGAAAGGCUUCCAAGUACAAACUGCCAGCAUUAAGCAGUCCUGACAGCUCUGCUCCUUCCACACUUGGCAGCAGUUCAAAGUGCUCUUUCAUUUGAAAGGCUGGAAGGCUGCCAUGUGCAAUGCAGAUUUGCUGUGCCUGCUCUCAUAAGGAACUGAUAAAUGCCGUUGCUGUUGCCAUGGGGACAGGAGGCUAUCAGAAUGGCCUUGUGAUCUGCAGCCUCUCAGCUCUGCAGGCUUUUUUUUUUCCCUGAGAUAGUGAAAUAAAUGUUAUAGAGAAGGUUAACUCUUGAAGGACAGGAAGCACUGCCUUGAAAGGACUGGGUGAGCCUCUGUGCCUGGCUCCGUCAAAGCUGGGAACAAGAUUAACACAUACCUGCCAACUGUCCCUAUUUGGGAAGGCCUGGCCCUGGGGAUUUUUUAAGGAGGGAGGGAAGGAGACAGGGAGAGAGGGAGGGAGGAGGAGGGAAAACCUUCUUCUCACCACUCAGUGCCUUCAUAUUUCUUUUCCUUCUCAGGAUCUCCCAACAUAAUGAAAAGGCCACCCCCUUUCUCCCCCCCCCCCAUCCCCACGUACAGUUUUCAGAUGCUGGGGAAGUGAAUUAAUUUACUAUUGGAUCCUGUAACAUGCCUGAUGUCUUUAGCUCUCAUUAACAGCACUGGACAGCCAGCAGGAUUAGACCCAUUAUGUGGACUCCGUGUGUGGUUAAUGUGAGUAAAAAGAAAGAACAAUGUGAUACAAAACUGCAUGUUUAGGAGAGAUCUCUGUGAUGAUGCAAGUCCUGAUAGUGAAUCUCAGCGUCCUAUUUCCCAAGAUUAAAAUAAACACACCCUUGAGCUAUGCAGUUUGUGUGUGUAUAUAAACGACUGUGCACAUCUACUACUGA